rnacentral:rRNA from 1 species
AGAGUUUGAUCAUGGCUCAGAACGAACGUUGGCGGCGUGGAUUAGGCAUGCAAGUCGAACGCGAAAGGGGUAGCAAUACCCCGAGUAAAGUGGCGAACGGGUGAGUAACGCGUAGGGAACCUGCCUUCGAGUGGGGGAUAACACCUCUAACGGGGUGCUAAUACCGCAUGACACUGCGAUAUCGCAUGGUGUUGCAGUCAAAGGUGGCCUCUGUUUACAAGCUACCGCUCAAAGAUGGUCCUGCGUCCCAUUAGCUAGUUGGCGGGGUAACGGCCCACCAAGGCGACGAUGGGUAGCCGAUCUGAGAGGAUGACCGACCACACUGGGACUGAGAUACGGCCCAGACUCCUACGGGAGGCAGCAGUCGAGAGGCUUCGGCAAUGGGGGAAACCCUGACCGAGCGACGCCGCGUGGAGGAUGAAGGCCUUUGGGUUGUAAACUCCUGUCAUGAGGGAAGAAACGUCACCGUUCGAAUAGGGCGGUGACCUGACGGUACCUCAAGAAGAAGCCACGGCUAACUUCGUGCCAGCAGCCGCGGUAAUACGAAGGUGGCAAGCGUUGUUCGGAUUUACUGGGCGUAAAGAGCACGUAGGCGGUUGGGAAAGCCUCUUGGGAAAUCUCCCGGCUUAACCGGGAAAGGUCGAGAGGAACUAUUCAGCUAGAGGACGGGAGAGGAGCGCGGAAUUCCCGGUGUAGCGGUGAAAUGCGUAGAUAUCGGGAAGAAGGCCGGUGGCGAAGGC